ACACUCUUUAUUUUCUUCCGAUCGCAUAAAUCUUUUGCCUUUUACUAAAGAUAUCCAUAGAGAAGAACAAUAAGAGUUGUACAUUUUUUGAUGCCCUGCUAAGAUGCAGGGCU